GAUGAAGAACGCAGCGAAAUGCGAUAAGUAAUGUGAAUUGCAGAGUUCAGUGAAUCAUCGAAUCUUUGAACGCACAUUGCGCCCCUUGGUAUUCCGAGGGGCAUGCCUGUUCGAGCGUCAUUAUAACCCCUCAAGCUCAGCUUGGUGUUGGGGCCUGCUGCACUGGCAGCCCUUAAAAUCAGUGGCGGCGCCAUCUGGCUCUAAGCGUAGUAAUUCUUCUCGCUAUGGAGUCCUGGUGGAUGCUUGCCAUCAACCCCCAAUUUUUCUAUGGUUGACCUCGGAUCAGGUAGGGAUACCCGCUGAACUUAAGCAUAUCAAUAGCGGAGGA
rnacentral:misc_RNA from 1 species